UACGAAGGGGGCGAGCGUUGUUCGGAUUUACUGGGCGUAAAGGGCGCGUAGGCGGCCCUCCUAGUCGCGUGUGAAAGCCCCGGGCUCAACCUGGGAAUUGCGCGCGAAACGGGGGGGCGUUGAGUUCGGGAGAGGAGCGUGGAAUUCCCAGUGUAGAGGUGAAAUUCGUAGAUAUUGGGAAGAACACCGGUGGCGAAGGCGGCGCUCUGGACCGAGACUGACGCUGAGGCGCGAAAGCGUGGGAGCAAAGCAGG
rnacentral:rRNA from 1 species